rnacentral:sRNA from 1 species
UGAUCGGUAUAAUUUGGGUUGGAUGGCC